rnacentral:misc_RNA from 1 species
CCGAGUUUACAACUCCCAAACCCAAUGUGAACGUUACCAAACUGUUGCCUCGGCGGGAUCUCUGCCCCGGGUGCGUCGCAGCCCCGGACCAAGGCGCCCGCCGGAGGACCAACCAAAACUCUAUUGUAUACCCCCUCGCGGGUUUUUUUAUAAUCUGAGCCUUCUCGGCGCCUCUCGUAGGCGUUUCGAAAAUGAAUCA